rnacentral:rRNA from 1 species
GUCGAGAAUCUUCCGCAAUGCGCGAAAGCGUGACGGAGCGACACCGCGUGAUGGAUGAAGUCCUUCGGGGCGUAAACAUCUUUUAUAAAGGAGGAAAUGUUUGACGUUACUUUAUGAAUAAGGGGCUCCCAAUCUCGUGCCAGCAGGAGCGGUAAUACGAGAGCCUCAAGCGUUAUCCGGAAGCAUUGGGCGUAAAGGGUGCGUAGGUGGUUUGAUUAGUCUCCCGUUAAAACUUCGAGCUUAACUCGAAAAGAGCGGGGGAAACGGUCAAACUAGAGUAUGUGAGAGGUGUGUGGAACUCAUGGUGUCGUGGUGAAAUCCGUUGAUAUCAUGGGGAACACCACAAGCGAAGGCAGCACACUGGCACAUCACUGACACUGAGGCACGAAACCUAAGGUAGCGAAUGGGAUUAGAAACCCCUGUAGUCC